CAGGACUCGCAAGACUCCCGUAAACCACUGUGAACCUACCUAUUGUUGCCUCGGCGGGUGCUCGAGCUCAGCGCUCAGCCCGCCGCUGGCCCCUUACUCUGACUCACUGCGUUGGCAUCUCAGAGAAAACACAAACCAAUUA
rnacentral:misc_RNA from 1 species